UACGCCGUAAACGAUGGAUACUAGCAUUCGGAGGUGUCGACCCCUUCGGUAGCGAAGCUAACGCGUUAAGUAUCCCGCCUGUGUAGUACGAGCGCAAGCUUAAAACAUAAAGGAAUUGACGGGGACCCGCACAAGCGGUGGAGCGUGUUCUUUAAUUCGAGGCUAAGCGAAGAACCUUACCAGGGCUUGAAAUCCUGCGAAGGUUUGCGAAAGCAGACUGUGCCUUCGGGAACGCAGUGACAGGUGU
rnacentral:rRNA from 1 species